rnacentral:rRNA from 1 species
UACGUAGGUGGCAAGCGUUAUCCGGAUUUAUUGGGUGUAAAGGGCGUGUAGGCGGGAGCGCAAGUCAGAUGUGAAAACUCAGGGCUCAACCCUGAGCCUGCAUUUGAAACUGUGUUUCUUGAGUGCUGGAGAGGCAAUCGGAAUUCCGUGUGUAGCGGUGAAAUGCGUAGAUAUACGGAGGAACACCAGUGGCGAAGGCGGAUUGCUGGACAGUAACUGACGCUGAGGCGCGAAAGCGUGAGGAGCAAACAGG